ensembl:lncRNA
GAGUGACCUGUGGUUCUGGAGGCUCUUGAAGGCAGCAGAGUGAGGUGGAGGAGGGGAUGGAGUGACGUCUCUCUGCUCUCUGAGGAUCCGCGUGUGUUUGUGCAUCCACAUCAGUUUUUCCGAGUGACUCCUGCUCAUCGCCUGUAAGUAACGACAGGGAAAGUGAAAGGGACUCCCGUAGUAUGAACGUAAAACACAGCUGCAUCUGAUCGCGACAGUGAGGUCCUCGUUCGUUAGUUAUCGAUUCUUCCCGUAUCUCUUCAUCGAUUAUUGAUUGGAUCAUGUCAGAAGUGCUGCCUUACGAAGAGAACAUCUCUCAUUAUGGCGAUGAUGGAGAUGAAGAGCAGAUAUCCCUCACCUGUCGUCUGCAGAACAGCAGCAGUAACUUCUUCAGUUCUGGGCAGAACAAACGAGCUCCGAAACUCGGACAGAUCGGACGCAGCAAGAGAGUUGUCAUAGAAGACGACAGAAUUGAUGAAGUCCUGAACAACACGGCAGAGAAGUCCUCGGCGGGAGUGUAGCGCACAAGGACGUUGUUAAAACUGCAGAAAAUCAUGGGUUCUGUGCACUCUGCAUCAAAAGCACUUUGCAGUCCCUCUUAGUAUGGGUUGAAUCACACGGUGCGGCAGCAGGCGAGGAGAACGUCCCUGCUGCGGGCAUCCAAAUGAAGGAAGCGGGGGUCUGUCUGCUUUCUCUCUUUAAGGGCAUGUUUCAUAUCCCUUCUUAUAAAGUGACAUCCUACACUGGACAAACAAGUCCUAUGUUGUUUAAUACAUGUGGAGUUGGUCUGUUGGUCCAGAUUCAGUUUAUAUUGUGAGAGGAAUGCAUUGAUAUCACAAGCACAAAUCUUGCAACGUUCGUUCUUUACUUUGCUGUGAGACUUGGUUUCUCCGUAUCUUUUUGUGCACAAUGAAAGUGUUUUUCACUUUAAAUAUCCUAAUUAUGAUCUCUUGGAUACAUUUUAUGCUCUUUUGCCGAGACGACAGACUGAGCAAAUGUUUUUUUAUAGGAUGAGAGAGGAAAGGCUACUUUUUAAAAAUCAAUCAUGUCGCAUAUUGUAAUAUUUUGAUGUGGCUGCAAACUGCCUGCUAGGCCUGAGUUCAAAAGCUUAUUUUUAUAUCAAAGAGCUAUUUCUGAGAAAGAAAAAAAAUGCUUAUUUGAGUUAUAGUCGUAGCACUUUCAAACGUGGUUGUCACAGCUUCCAGCUAAAUGGAUUUUGAUCACUUCUGUGCCAAGAUUUUGCAAAAUAUGCCAGUCGACUUGUGUUUCCGUUCACUGAGUAAUGUGAAGUUUUCCAGGCCUGCCUCUCGUAUAUGUUUCAGGGUUUUUUUAACUGCUUUUUUUUGCAUGAGACAGGCACAAACGCCUCCUUCUGUGGCAGUGAAUUAUGAAUAUAUUUACAGUAAUGUUGCUCUGAAUGACAAACCUCAGACUCUUGAAUAUUGUGUAUGUUGCACUUCUCUAUACUGUUAAACAGGGCUAUAUUUGCAAUGAAAUGUAUAACCAAUAAAAUGUGAUUAUAUAACAGAACUCCACCACCCUCACUGUCCACUAUGUGAAAUUUCUUCCCUUUGUUGAAGAUGAAGCUUCGUCCUUGAUUUCCUCUUUUAUCAAUUAUAAAGUAGAGCUUUUCUAAAACAAAUGCUUUCUUAUUAAAACAGUCCUGUUCGGAUAAAACGGUCUGAGUUGUCGGGUCAGUAACGAGAAAUGCAUUUCAGUUGUUUAACCUGAAGCAUGUGCUUCAGUCUCUUAAAAGUGAUAUUCUAUGUUAAAUACAAGUUAAUAAAUAAAUCAGUGUAAAAUAGUUUAACAAAUUAAAUCCAUAAAAUGAGCACACACACACACACAAGAGUGUCUGUAAUGAUUGCUUUUGCAAUAAAAGUAUAUUAAAGCCAGAUGCUGCACUAAAGUAGAUGUUAAAAUACCC